GGCCGGUUAGCUCAGCUGGUUAGAGCGUGGUGCUAAUAAUGCCAAGGUCGCGGGUUAGAGCUCCGUAUUGGCCA
rfam:Danio rerio chromosome 3, GRCz11 reference primary assembly.